ACGCUCGACACCUACGGGAGCAGCAGUUAGGAAUAUUGGGCAAUGGAGGAAACUCUGACCCAGCAACGCCGCGUGAAGGAAGAAGGUUUUCGGAUUGUAAACUUCUGAUCUAGGGGAAGAAGGAAGUGACGGUACCCUAGGAGAAAGCCACGGCUAACUACGUGCCUGCAGCCGCGGUAAUCUGAGCGGGCUGGCAAGGC
rnacentral:rRNA from 1 species